rnacentral:lncRNA from 1 species
GUGGUAAGUUCCAGUUAUUGUUUUAUGCCUGGGAUACACCACUGAACACAACAAUCCAAUGGCCCCACCCUUGUAGAAUGUGGAACAUACAUCACCACAGGGAGAGGCGAAGAGUAAACAGUCAACAAAACAUACAAGGAAAUUAUGUUUUAAAAGUAUGUUAGAAGUUGAAGAGUGCUAUAGAAAAAGGGAGGGGAGCCUAGAAAGGGGACUGCAGGAGCCAGGGUGAGAGGACAGGCAGCAGCUUUAACUAGGAUGCCAAGGUAAUCUCACUGAGACCGUGGAAUUCAAGAAAGUAAAUGAAGGAGGACAAACCAUAUGGAUAUUUUGGAGAAUAGUGUAGACAGAGCACCCAGUGCUCUCAGCAAGAAAGCUGGUGUGGCUAGAGAGAAAUGAAGAAGGAGAGCAGCAGGAGAGCCAGAGGGCUAAGAAGGAGUCUGGAUCAUGCAGCACCUGAUUAUAAUUUCCACAUGGUGAGGCACCCCUUCUGCCGUGUUUUGCCCUAUUCCCGGAGCCUAGGACACAGCCUUUAUGGAGUGUAGCCUGAUAAUGUAGUUACUGAAUGAAACAAAUCUUCCUGGCACACGUUCUUCACCCCUGAAAACAACAUGGAUGAUGAGUGCAGACUGCAAAACAGCUCACUGGCAAUUGCUCUCAAUUCACUCAAACCCUGCGAAGACUGAUGCCUUGUCAUGAAGACAUAAGAUGAGAAGUUCACCAGUGCUCUAUCAUCUUCUUGGUGACCUACUGGCACCAACUACAGCAGAUCCACUGUGCAUCCAUGAGGCUAGGUACCAUGAAAGUUUUGACCAGAAGGAGCCACCACCAUACUCUUAAAACACAUCCAGAAACUCACCUUUUAUUUUCAAUGCUUGUAUUCUUGUUUUCAGGAUUUUCAUGUGUCUAAAUAUUUCUGUUCAGAAAUUCUUCAAAAUUAUCUAGUACCUCAAAUAAACAGUUAGCAAUAACUAGU